rnacentral:ribozyme from 13 species
AAAAUUCAAAUUCUUCAUCACUUAAUUCAACUUCCUGUCCAACUUCUCUUUCCAUCCCUAUCCUUCUUCGUUUCCCUACUUUCUCACAAAUGUGCUUCUCAUAAGAAAAAAGAGAAGUGGCGGAGAAGGAUGAAAAUGGGAGAGGGAGGGGGGGAGAAGGAGGGGAGAAAAGAAGAUGAGAGGUUAAUUUUCCUCCUUUUUCACAAAAAUUGAGGAGAGAAACGUAA